CAUCAAUCUCACCCGAGUCUUCUACGUCUGCCAUCGUCUGUUGCCGUCGAGGAAACCGACUGACCGAAAGCAAGAUUGAUCCAGCAGUUUGUUUUCUUCGUCUUCUCUCCCUCUACCGCCGAUGAAAGCUACCAUUUCUCUCCAUUUCAUUUUCCCGGUAUCGAUAAACAAUCCUACUGGUAUGGAAACAAGUUCUCUCUCUCAUUCAAAAUCUUGAGUAGCUUACCUCAUACGGGAGUGCCCAGCGUGCAUAGCCACAACAGUACACUACCUUUUAUUUCAGGUAAGAAAUCCUCUUGGCCUUAUUUUGUAACUAUAUAUCUCACCUUCUUCUUACAAUUAAGAGAUCUUGAAUUUGUGUAUGUGUCAUUGUUAGUUGUAACAUCCUAAUGGUUGAAGAGGAAGACAAAUGGCCACUCAAGCCUUCUACAUCGAUUUCACCGACCCAAGUGUGUGACCAUAUCGAUGCGAUGCAAUUCCAUGGAGAUAGGUGCUUAUAUUAGACAAUGUAUAAAAAUCUUAAUUAUUAGUAUGCUGGUCAACUAUUAGUGUGCGAUGUUAUUGACUGGACCAUGCUCAUGUUUCUUGGCAACAUUGUGUGACUAGACAGGCAAUAGCUGAUUUUUUGGCAG